GAUGAACGCUAGCUACAGGCUUAACACAUGCAAGUCGAGGGGUAACGAGAGGAAAGCUUGCUUUCCUUGUCGACGACCGGCGCACGGGUGGGUAACGCGUAUCCAACCUGCCCCCAACUAGGGAAUAACCUUGCGAAAGUAAGACUAAUACCCUAUAAUUUCCUCAGAUGUCAUCUGACGAGGAAUAAAGAUUUAUCGGUUGUGGAUGGGGAUGCGUCUGAUUAGCUUGUUGGCGGGGUAACGGCCCACCAAGGCAACGAUCAGUAGGGGUUCUGAGAGGAAGGUCCCCCACAUUGGAACUGAGACACGGUCCAAACUCCUACGGGAGGCAGCAGUGAGGAAUAUUGGUCAAUGGGCGGAAGCCUGAACCAGCCAAGUAGCGUGCAGGAUGACGGCCCUAUGGGUUGUAAAUUGCUUUUAUACAGGAAUAAAGUUAGCCACGUGUGGUUAUUUGUAGGUACUGUAUGAAUAAGGACCGGCUAAUUCCGUGCCAGCCGCCGCAGUAA
rnacentral:rRNA from 1 species